CUUAAAUGAAUUGACGGGACCCGCACAAGCAGCGGAGCGUGUGGUUUAAUUCGUUGCUACACGAAGAACCUUACCUGGGUUUGACAUAUAGGUUGUAGGGAACUGAAAAGGGACCGACCUUCGGGGAGCCUAUACAGGUGUUGCAUGGCUGUCGUCAGCUCGUGUCGUGAGAUGUUCGGUUAAGUCCGCUAACGAGCGCAACCCUCGUCGUAUGUUAUAUGUGUCAUACGAGACUGCCGGUAAAAAGCCGGAGGAAGGUGAGGAUGAUGUCAAGUCAGCAUGACCUUUAUAUCCAGGGCUACACACACGCUACAAUGGUCUGUACAAUGGGUAGCCAAGCCGCGAGGCGGAGCCAAUCCUGAAAGCAGGCCUCAGUUCAGAUUGCAGUCUGCAACUCGACUGCAUGAAGCCGGAGUUACUAGUAACCGCAGGUCAGCAAUACUGCGGUGAAUACGUUCCCGGGUCUU
rnacentral:rRNA from 1 species